rnacentral:lncRNA from 10 species
CAAAGCAGAGCCUUUCUCACUGGGUGUCUGCUGGUGCUGAUGUCACCAAGGAACACACCCCGGGCAGCUUAAACCACAGACGUUUAUUCUUGCAUAGGGCUGGAGGUCACAAGUCUGAGAUCAAGGUGCUGGACAGCCUGGCUCUUCCUGAGGGUGGCUGGCAGGUCCAGUGCAGGCCUCCCACCUUGGCUGGUGGACAGCCAUCUGCUCCCUGGCUCUCCAUAUCACCUUCCCCUUGUGCCUGUCUCUCUCCAGAUCUCCCCUUCCUGUAAAGACACCAGUCCUACUGGAUCAGGGCCCACCCGUGUGACUUCACUUUUACUUGAGUACCUCUCACAGACCCUAACUCCAAAUCAGGUCACUUGCUGAGGUACUGCAUGUGAAGACUUUGACAUUUGAAUUUUGAGGGGGCCACCGUUUAACCUGAACCACCAAGGACAGAGCCAAAGACCCUGGGUGACAGGCCCAGAACAGGACCUGGUGGAGGCUCUUCUUUAGGGGAGAGAGGGAAAUGGGAGCCACCACUGGCAGAGCCUGAAGGCAGGGCAGCCAGAAAGAAGCUGUGGGAGUCCCCACCAUGGAAGACCCUGCCGAGCAUCCUGUGUCUCCUGAAGCAGACCCUGACAUGAGGACUGGGGGCACGUGUUUAUUAAGGGCGAUCCCCGGAAGGAGGAGAUAACCAGGUAGGGAAGGAGGGAACCCCAGGGCAGGGCUCUAGAGAGAGAGGAUGACCCUCAGGAGCAGGAGGGUGCACCUGAAACCAGACCCAGCAAGAGAUGGAAGCCCUGGGAGCAGCCCCACUCCAGGUCCUCUGCAGGAGUGACCCAGCUGCCACCAGGCUGCCCUGCCCAGCUCAGCAGGCCCUACGGGUGCAGGGAAGCAGAUGGGCAGUGAGAUCUGGGACCGGUAUAGAACCACAGCUGCCACAACUGCCCAUGGCUCCCUCCCUUCUUUGACGUCAGAGUGAGCAGGGCGGUUUCUGCUGCCUUCGCAUUCCAGCCCCACACACCUCCCUGCAGCCUGGCACUGGAAACUGCUGAGCCAUGCAGGGCAGCCUGGUGGCGGCUAGGACACUUCUGCAGAGGACCUGGAGUUGGGCUGCUCCCGGGGCUCCCAUCUCUUGCUGGGUCUGUUUUCAGGUGCACCCUCCUCCUCCAGGAGGCAGGGGCAAGACCAGCUUCAGCCCUUCUUGCUCUCCAUGGUCUGUAUAUGGACAGGGUGUGGGCCCGGGGAGACAGUUGUGUGGUGUGUGCAUUGUGUGUGUGGGGGGGGUUGUCUGUGUGUCUGUGAAUAUUUGUGUGAUAUGUGUGUAGUAUGCUCAUGUGUCAUGACUCUGUGAGGGUGUGAUGGAAGAGUGUGUGUAAGAGAGAAGUUUGAGUGUGUGUGGUGUGUGCAUCUGGUGUCUGUGGGUGAUGUUUGUGUACAUAGUGUCUGUGUGUGUGAUGUCGGUGUGUUGUGUGGGUUUGUGUGUGUAUAUAGUGUCUGUGUGUGUGAUGUCAGCGUGUUGUGUAAGGAUUUAUGUGUGUGUGUGGUGUCUGUGUUUGUGAUGUUGGUGUGUUGUGUGUGGGUCUAUGUUUGUGUGUGAUGUUGGUGUGUGUGAUAUCAGUGUGUUGUGUGUGGGUUUAUGUGUGUGUGUGUGAUGUCUGUGUCUGAUGGUGUGUUUUGUGUGGGAUUGUGUGUGUGUGUGUGGUGUCUGUGUGUGUGAUGUCAGUGUGUUGUGUGUGGGUUUAUGUGUGUGAUGUCGGUGUGUGUGAUGUCAGUGUGUUGUGUGUGGGUUGAUAUGUGUAUGUGUGAUGUUGGUGUGUUGUGUGUGCAUUUAUGUGUGUGUGGUGUCUGUGUGUGUGAUGUCAGUGUGUUGUGUGUGGGUGUAUAUUUGUGCAUCAUGUCAGUGUGUGUGAUGUCAGUGUGUUGUGUGUGGGUUUAUGUGUGUGUCUGAUUUUGGUGUGUUGUGUAUGGGUUUAUGUGUGUGUGGUGACUGUGUGUGAUGUUGGUGUGUUGUGUGGGUUUAUGUGUGUGGUGUCUGUGUGUAUGAUGUCAGUGUGUUGUGUAGGUUUAUGUGUAUGUGAUGUUGGUGUGUGUAAUGUCAGUGUGUUGUGUGUGGGUUUAUAUGUGUUUGUGUGAUAUUGGUGUGUUGUGUGUGGGUUUAUGAGUGUGCAUGGUGUCUGUGUGAUGUUGGUGUGUUGUGUGGGUUUGUGUGUGUGGAUGUGGUUUCUGCCUAUGGGAGGAGGUUUGCUCACAGAUGGAGGAGAAGGAGCUCUAUAGGCAAAGAUCCCAGGGCCGUGGAGGAGGAGACACAGUCCUGAGAACUCCUUCCUCUGAAUCAGAAGGACAGGAAAGGUGGGAUUUUAAAGGAACAGAGAACCCUGGUGGGAGAGGUGAAUCUGAGCUCCUCGGGCCAUCGGGUGUCCUGUGGAGCAGAGGCAGGCCCGUGAGGGUGAUUUUCAGAAUGCUGCCUGCUUCUGAGAGUGAGAUGAAGACCCUCUGGGGUCCCGUUGAUGUCACCAAUGUCGCCUGUCUUGAGGCAUCUCUGGUCCAGACCUGGCUGGGAGAGAGAGCUAUGGGUGGAGAUGCACUUAGAGAAGAUCACACGCAAGAGCUUGGAAGUCCUGGGAGGAAGUAUGAUCCCGAAUCCUGGCACACUUGAUCAUGCGUGACAGGGACUUAAGAAAGCCCCUAAUUAUAGCCGUGUGGGGUUUGUCUCCCUUCUGAAGCUUGGCGCCCGUGUGCUCAAGGCAAGGGCGUGACCAAGGUAAGAGACCCCUUCUCUCCCUUAGGCAGAAGUCCUAGCAGAGUAUGCCCACGCUGGUUAGUGCUGCUGCAAAGAUGAGCCGAAGACCAUGAGAGACCUCCAGGUGGUCCUUCUGGGGAGAAGAAAUGGGUUUUGGCCCCAAAUCCUUCUGCUGCAUUUUUCCCCUAUCCCUGGGAAGCCAUGAGACCUCAAACCUGUGUUCCCAAGGAGGCGAGCUGCUGUUCCCAGGUGAUGAUAUGAUGUGCUUGGGGAAAGUAAGUGGCUGCCAGACAUGGCUGAGAGCUGUUGUCACUGCCGUCAAGUGCAUGUCUCCAAGCCAUAUCACACGGCGUCCCUCGAUGUGAGGCCACAUGGCAAGUGGGCCGUGGAUCUCCCUCUGCCCUUUGCAAGCACGUAAGACAGCAGAUUUUGCAGAUACCUUGUGGCGCAGGGGAAUUUCCUUUGGCCAGGUCUGAAGAAAUAAAGCAGCAGGCACCGAGAACAAAGCCAAGGCUUUCAAAAGACAAGGAGCCAAAAAACUUACUCAAAAUAAAAGUAGUUUUAAAAUGUCUCUGCCAUUGGUAGUCUCAUUUUCUUUUUAAUGUAGGAAAUAGUCAAGUAUUAAAAUGACCAAAAUGAAACAAGUGCCUCAUGGACUGAGAAGGAAGGAGGA